rnacentral:rRNA from 1 species
CACGAAGAAAUCAAGAGCGUUUGGGGGAUGCCUAGGAUAUGCAUGGCGAUGAAGGACGUGGCUAGUCUGCGAUAAGCUUCGGCGAGGUGAUACGCAACCGUUGAGCCGGAGAUUUCCGAAUGGGGAAACCCACUCUAAAAAGGAGUACUGCACUGUUGUAAAGACGGUGGAGAGCACACUCAGGGAAGUGAAACAUCUCAGUACCUGAAGGAAAGGAAAACAAGUUACAUUUUUUUGUAAUAACAUUCUCUUAGUAGCGGCGAGCGAAAAGGGAUGAGUCCAAAUUGCACCUAUCUUUUGAUAGGUGUGAGGUUGUAGGACGAUAGAGCGUUGCCUUCUGGCAACAGAAAGUUACAAAGUAGAGCGUUAGUGGAAUGUGUUGGAAAGCACAACCAAAGAAGGUGAAGGUCCUGUACGCGAAAACCCUCUACCUUUCAUCUAUUGUUCCUGAGUAGCCCGGGACAUGACUGGCUUGGGUGAAUCAUCCGGAACUAACCGGAAAGGCUAAAUACAUGUAUAUACCGAUAGUGAACCAGUACCGUGAGGGAAAGGUGAAAAAUACCCCGGCAAGGGGAGUGAAAUAGAUCUGAAACCAAAUGCUUACAAAGAGUCGGAGCGGUUGCUUGCAACCGUGACGGCGUGCCUAUUGAAGAAUGAGCCAGUGACUUUCUGUGUAUUGCAUAUGGUUAAACCGUACGCGGUGGAGCCGGAGCGAAAGCGAGUGUGAAUAGCGCGUGAGUAGUAUGCAGAAGACCCGAAGCCAGGUGAGCUUACCUUGGGCAGGCUGAAUGACGUCGAAAGAUGUCAGGAGGGCCGAACCGAUAGAUUGUGCAACAUCUUCGGAUGACCUGGGGUAAGGAGUGAAAAGCUAAUCGAACCUGGGAAUAGCUGGUUCUCUCCGAAAGAGCUUUAGGGCUCGCGUUAUUGGAUCCGUUUGGGGGUAGAGCACUGGAAGGUGUGAAUAGGGGGAAACCUCGUCAUUCCUACCAAACUCCGAAUACCAAACGUUACACAAUAGCAGUUAGACCAUGGGGGCUAAGCUCCAUCGGUCGAAAGGGAAACAGCCCAGAUCCCAAAUUAAGGUCCCUAAGUACGUGUUAAGUACAAACAAGGAGGUGUGAUGUUUUAGACAGCGAGGAGGUUGGCUUAGAGGCAGCCAUCCUUUAAAGAAAGCGUAAUAGCUCACUCGUCAAAACGUCAUGCGCCAUAAAUAAUCGGGGUUAAACACGUCACCGAAAUUGGGGGAGUACAAGUGUUUCGAUACUUGUACUCGGUAGGAGAGCGUUCUUCGUGCACUGAAGCUGAAGGGGUGACCCACAGUGGAGCGCGGAGAAGUGAGAAUGCUGGCACGAGUAGCCGCAAUGCGAGUGAGAAUCUCGCACACCGAAAGACUAAGGUUUCCGCAGCAAUGCUAAUCAUCUGCGGGUUAGUCGGGCCUUAGGGGAUGGCGAAAGCCGGACCCGAUGGACACAUGGUUAAUAUUCCAUGACUCUGCAUACGUGUGAAGGAGUGACGGAGGGUUGUACUCUCUGAGUGUUACUGGAUUCACUUUGUUGCCGUGAGGUUGGCACUUCAGGAAAAUCCGGGUGCAUAUCAUCCGAGCGGAGACAGGACAGACGGCUUCGGCCGUUUGGACAGAGAGGAGCACGCUUCCAAGAAAAGCUUCUAACAUUUUUCGUAUGCAGAACCGUACCGAAAACCGACACAGGUGGUCAGGUCGAGAAGACCAAGGUGAACGGGUGAUUGCUCCCCAAGGAACUCGGCAAGACAGCGGGCGUAACUUCGGAAUAAGCCCUGCCGUAUCAGAUUCGUCUGAUCGGCCGCAGCGAAUGUCGCUUCGCCGACUGUUUAUCAAAAACACAGCUCCCUGCGAACUCGUAAGAGGAUGUAUAGGGGGUGACUCCUGACCAAUGCCGGAAGGUCAAGUACGGAAGGUACUGCGCUUGUCGCAGUGCUGGACUGUAUAAGCCCCGGUGAAUGUCGGCCGUAACUAUAACGGUCCUAAGGUAGCAAAAUACCUCGUCCGGUAAUUUCGGACGCGCACGAAUGGAGUAACGAGCGAAGCACUGUCUCGGGGAGGAGCCCGGCGAAAAUGCAAUACCGGUAAAGAUGCCGGUUAACUACAGAAAGACAGGAAGACCCCGUGGAGCUUUACUACAGCUUCGUAUUGGGGCUAUGAUGAUACUGCGUAGCAUAGGUGGGAGACGUUGAAGCGAUCCUUUCGGGGAUUGUGGAGUCGCCAGUGAAAUACCACCCUUUAUUGUUGUAGUUCCUAACCCCAACGGCAAAACCGUUGAGGGACAGUGCGUGGCAGGUAGUUUUUGUGGGGCGCUAUCCUCCUAAAAAGUAACGGAGGAGUUCAAAGGUUCUCUAGGCGCGAAUGGAAACCGUGCCGAUAGUGUAAAGGCAUAAGAGAGCUUGACUGCAAGGGGGACAUCCCGAGCAGAUGCGAAAGCAGGACUUAGUGAACCUCUAGUACGC